rnacentral:tRNA from 1 species
GUAGUUGUGGUGGAGUGGUUAAGGCAAUGGGCUAGAAAUCCAUUGUGGUCUCCCUUUGCAGGUUUGAAUUCUGCCAUCUACC